AACGAACGCUGGCGGUAUGCUUAACACAUGCAAGUCGAACGAACAAAAUUGGGGCUUGCUCCAAUUUUAGUGAGUGGCAAACGGGUGAGUAACACGUGGGAAUCUACCUAUCAGUACGGAAUAACAUUUGGAAACAGAUGCUAAUACCGUAUAUUCUCCAAGGAGGAAAGAUUUAUCGCUGAUAGAUGAGCCCGCGUAAGAUUAGGUAGUUGGUAGGGUAAUGGCCUACCAAGCCGACGAUCUUUAGCUGGUCUGAGAGGAUGAUCAGCCACACUGGGACUGAGACACGGCCCAGACUCCUACGGGAGGCAGCAGUGGGGAAUAUUGGACAAUGGGCGAAAGCCUGAUCCAGCAAUACCGCGUGAAUGAUGAAGGCCUUAGGGUUGUAAAGUUCUUUUAGUUGGAAAGAUAAUGACGGUACCAACAGAAAAAGCCCCGGCUAACUCCGUG
rnacentral:rRNA from 1 species